rnacentral:rRNA from 1 species
UACGUAGGGGGGCGAGCGUUGUCCGGAGUUACUGGGCGUAAAAGGGGCACGCAGGCGGUGCGGCGCGUUUCGCGUGACAGCGGGAGGGGCUUAACUCUCCCGAGGGAUGCGAAAAGACGGGCGGCACUUGAGGGGCCCAGAGAGGGGACACGGAAAUUCCGGGGUGGAGUGGGUGAAAUGCGUAGAGAUCCGGAGGAACACCGAAGGCGAAGGGCAGUGUCCUGGCUGGGUGACUGACGCUGAGGGUGCGAAAAGCUAGGGGGAGCGAACGGGG